AGGACUUAGAACCUGAGGGCCCAGACGUCGUGUGUGCACUAAUCCCUUCAUGGAGGCACACUAAUGGGGACAUUAUAGGCUUGGAGUUAAAAGAAGGAAAGAGAGAGCUGCAGAGGCAGAGCAGCCGUUAGGAGCGUUAGGAGCGUUCGGAGCACACGGUCCUGAGUUCCGUUUCCAAUUUCUAUAUCUAUUGGGAGGUGUUGCCGGAUUUUCCCUGUCCAAUUACAUUAGAGCACCAAGAGGCCCGUGAUUGGUCAGGGAAAAGGGAGGCGGAGCUAAGAGUUAAGAGACGACAGUGUAGCAGAGAGGAGAGAAAGGAGAAUAGAGGUGGACGUGAACCAGCAUGAUCUUAACCAGUCACAGGAACAAGAACAUUAUCCACUGUGACAUUGGCUGGUUCCUGAGAGAAGAAAUAUAUAAUAAGCCAGUGGAUGGCAGUGUAUCUCCAGUGUACAAGGUCCAGGGCUGUGGUAAGAGUAUCUUAUUUCUAGGCCUGCUUACUGCAGUACUUUGUUACAGUGUUGCCUGCAAAGUCUCUCUGUUACAGGUUAUCCUUUUACCAACUAAGGAGAAGACACUGCUCAGAUUUUUUUUUUACGCUGCUC
rnacentral:lncRNA from 1 species